rnacentral:lncRNA from 1 species
AAAAGUCCAUCAUCAAUAUUUUAUCCCUAUAACAUCAAUCAAUAUAUAUCUUGAACCAAAUAUUCAUCUUUGCACUACGGGCCAAAGAUAUUCAUUUGUAUCACCAGUUGGUCAUGUUCAUCUCAACACAUGUCCAUCUUUACACUACGGGCCAAAGAUAUUCAUCAGGUAAUCAUUCAUCUUUACACUACAUGUGACGCCCCCAAAAUAGGCAUACAUCACUCAUUUUGAGUCGCCAAAUACAUGGUACAAAAAUACAAAUACAACUUAAUAAUACAACUGUCAUGUAAAAUACGACAAAACAUAAACUGAGAGUUUUAAUAAGAAUAUUGUCAUCUAGACAAUAUCAACACUCAAUAGAGUCAUCAUUACAUUUAUUGUCACACUAUUUAAUAGAAUAGUGAGGACUACUAAUGCUAUCAUCUGGACCGUCACUUCGUUCCUCGACUAGUCCCGGCUACGUUCUCAUUUCCUGAAGAGAAUAGUGAAAGAAAGGGUGAGCUCAACUAGCCUAGUAAGAAAUAUUAUGACUAAGAUAAUGCAGAAUAAAUUAUCAUUAGUCUUCAACAAUGUUAAACUGAUAAAAUACAAUAGACAUCAAGUUUAACUGCAGCGGAAUAAACAAUCCAUUAGAAGAGUCAAGUAGAGCAUGAUAUCUACUAUCUUUUAUGAUUUAAAAUGUUUUCAUCAUUUUUUAUCGCUGAGACUCAGUUUAAUAAAUAAAUCACAUCAUCGAGUCAUCCCUGCACUACGGGCCAAGGAUAUUCAUUAAAUCAUCAAUGGUUAUGACUAUACCGAAUAAUCCCUGGUAAUAAUCAUACCAAAAAACUGUCCAUCAAUGCACUACAGGCCACUGAGGAUUUUUACCACAUCAUUCGUCACAUUACGGUCAUGAUUAUACCCAAUAAUCCCUGGUCAUAUUCACACCAAGUCCAUCUAUGCACGUAAGCCCAAGAUAUACAACUAUAAAACCAAUAAUCAACAGUCCAUCUUUGCAUGUAAGCCAAAGAUAUACAAUUCAAUAAUUAACAGUCCAUCUUUACACGUAAGCCAAAGAUAACUUUCAUCACCAUAUAAGCAUGAGGAUGAUGACAAUGAUAUAAGCAUUAAUCAAUCGAAAACAAGGAUAAAUAUUAAAGACUUUAAAUUUAUCCAAAUAUUAUCCAUCACUUAAAUAACUCAUAAUCUAAUAUUGUUAAUAUUAUAACAAUAUUUUAAUCACUUCUUAAACUUAUAAAUAAUUUAAUUUAAUUGUUAACACUUUACCAAAUAAUGCAUUUAAUCAUUCAAAAUUGCCAUACUCAUAAAAUUUCAUCACCAAUGAUCAAAUCACUCAUCAAAAAUCUACAUAUACCUUAUAAAGAAUUUUCAAGCCCUAAAAUCCUAUUUACCAAUUUUUCAACUUCACAUAACAUAUUUAACUCAUAUGUUUGUAACUAAACCAUUUUCAUGAAAAAUUACCAAAUCAACUUAUUAUUUUUCUAUCCUUUGUCCAAACAUAUAUACAUAUAUUUCAUACACAACAAGUAUUUUUUUUAUAAUAUUUCAACUCCCUUAAGUAUUUUUCAAAAAUCAAUUUCUAAUUAAUUCCUUAAGAAAUUAACUACCUCAAGUUUAACACCAGAAAUUCCCAAAUCUUGGCAAGAUCUUACACAUGUUAACGUGAGCUUCCAGUUUAAAUUUCAUGGUCAUCGGAGUUAUAGAACUCCGGUUAUAGCGUUUUUCGUCGAAAAAAACCUAAAUAUUGAAAUAGUCAUAAAUUGCUCAUUUUAAGUGUGAAUGAGCUCAUUUUUGGACAGGAGGUACUUUAUACCAUAUAUUACCAUGGCCCAAAAGGCCCAAACUUUUCUCACAAAUUAAGUGGCCGAAACAGCCCUUACAAAAUGGAAUAACAGAAGAAUUUCACCAUGUAUACGGUAGUCCGCGUAUACAGGUUAUUCCAACAGAAUAAUAAGGAAUGGAAUAACAAUAGCUCUCUUCAUGAAUACGAAAGAAAUAAUACCCCUUACCUCAAAAUAAGACUGGAUACUGGAAUAGUGAGGUAGCAGACUCCUCUUCUUCUUUCUCUCUAUAAUUUCUCUCUAUAAUAAUUGCUCUAUAGCUUUAGUGAAUUGGUGAGAAAUGAAGGAAGAAUGAGCUUCUAUUUAUAGGAAAAUAUAGUUUCGAUAAUUGCACGUUUUGGGGCUCAAAAUAUUACAGUAUAAUACCUUCAACUUUUCUUUCAUUUUUAAUUUAGUCCUGCAAGUAUUAUCAAACUUGCACCACCUCCCCUAAUAGUAAAUAAUGUUAAUCAAUAGUUCAAACAUGUGAACCAAUAGUUAUAAUCAUGUGAAAAUACGAAUUAUAGUAUAUUACCUUCAUAUAUAUCUCUAUUUUUAACUUAGUCAUGCAAGUAUUAUCAAUCUUGCACCAACUCCCCUAAUAGUACAUGAAUGUGAUUCAAUAGUACAUACAUGUGAACAAAUAGUUAUAUAAGCAUGUAAAUUAGUAAUAAUUAAUUGCUUAUUUAUCUGAUUAAUUACCCGAUUUAUCAAUAUAACCCCCCAGACAUCAAUUAUCACCGGAAUAGAUGUCGAUUUUCACUAACACUAAUAAUCCCAACAUAAUGGAACUAUCAAAUUCAUUUUUAAUCAACAUUAACUUAUUCAUCAUUAAUAUUAUAACUCACAAUAUUUAACAACUAGGUCGUUCCCAGGAAAGAGGAGGUUUUCCGAUAAGGAUUUCUCCUUAUUGGCGCACAAUUAGAUGACCAAACAUCUCCUUGACAAAACUUCUAGACAUUAUAAAUAUUGCAAUUUAAUAAUAUGAAUAACUUUGUCGUCUCAAUUAUUGAUUUAAUAAUAUAUCAUACUAUGCAGAUGAUACUGUGACAAUAAUCGAAUCAAUAAUAUGAGAUAUGAUGCAGCAAUUACUGUAGCAAUAAUUGAGUAUAACUGAGUGACUUUUCACGUAAGCAUCAAUAAUCAAUACCGUGUGCUACUAUGCAACCACGCGUAUUACUGUACUUUUACUACCGAGUAGUUAAACAGUUUUAACGGUAAAACUUCCGCCGUUAUUUUCAUAAAAAUAUUUUUGUUGUUUUCUCAAUCCGACAAUAAUUCCAUUGUGGGAUCCACCAAUGAUUGUACCGUCGUACGGAUAUUCUCCGACAAAAAGAAUAUUCUCCGACCAAUCGAAUAUAAUACAACAACUUGCAUACUUUGCAAAAUUUAUAAAUACUACCCACAACUAUAACAUUAUCUCAAAUCCACACCAUAAUAUUCAAAAAAAUAUUUCGAGAAAAUUAAAUCUUUAUUCAUAAAAUUUGGGGUUUUACACUACAGACCAAAGAUAUUCAUCAAGUAUCACCAUUUCAGACUGAGGAUGAUGAAAAAUAUCUUAAAAAAACGAAUCCAGUGAGAUUAAAGGACAAAGAUUAGGGAUUCGUACUUUGGUUUAUUUAAGUUCAAAAAUACUCCAUAAUAAUCAACUGUGGAGCAAAAUUCAAGAAUGAAGAUCAAAACAUGGAUACAAUCAAAGAUAGUAACCAUAAUAGACAACUUGGACAAAGAAAAGAAAAUUAAUUUUUCUGUGAAUAGUGUCAUAUACGUGAAUAGUAACCCCGACUCAAAAGAUAACAAUUUUAUAAGAAAAAUCAUAUUUCGUGAAUAAUACUCAUGAAUAGUACCGUAUUCGUGAAUAGUGUCGUAUACAUGAAUAGUAUCAUAUACUUGAAUAGUAACAUCGACAUGAAAAAGUAAAAAUUUCAUAAUAAAAUUCAUACCAAUAUUUUGGUAUAAUGAUAUUGAAAGAAAUAAUAUCAUUUACGAAGAAAAUAACAUCUCUUACCUGAAAAGAACAGUACUUCUGACUGGAAUAUCGAAUAUAAUAUUGAAGGAAACUUGCACUGAAUAACAACUCUCAAAGUAUCUAAAUACUCACAAAAAUACGCUCAAUAUUAUAGAGAGAGAAAACUUCUGAUUCUGAUGUGAUUUUUAAUUCUAACUAAGCACCCUAUUUAUAGAAAAAUGCCAGAACACCAAAGCAGAUUAAAAUUUAAUAAAAUAAUAUUUUAAUAAAAAAAAUUCACGCACACCUCUUGACCAAACUUAGCACAUGACAAGUGGGGCCCACCAAUUUCAAAAAAUUCCACAACAACUAAAAGUGGGGCCCACCCAUGUUUUUAGUAAAAACAUUUAUUUCCGAAACUUUAAUAAUUCAUAAUAAAUAGCUCUUUUAUCAGAAAAAUAUGAAUUUUAUGUCCAUUCCAUAGAAAAUGUAAUUCUCUACAACUUUGUAGAAGAAAGUUUUUUCAAAUUCCCAACAGAAAAAGAUCGAAAUCCACAUACGGAUGAUUUUUUAAUACCUCCAUUUUGACAAAAUACUGAUAAAACUCUUCAGUAUUAAUUCCUUCAUUUAUAUCCACAUAAAAUAAAUAUUUCCUUAUCAUAUAAAUUAAUAAUUAAUUAUUCACAAAUAAUAUUACAGAAUCACAAUAAUGACAGCCAGGUCGUUUCUAGGAAAGAGGGGGCUUUUCGAUAAGGAUUUCUCCUUAUUGGUGCGUAAUUAGGUGACCAAACUCUUUUCCUAGACAGAACUUCCUUAGACAUUGCCAAUAAUGCUAUCUAAUAAUAUUAUUCAAAUAAUAUGAAUUAUUGAUCUGAUAAUGAAGAAUAUUGUGCAGUGACAAUUAUUGAAACAACUAUAAUAUAAAAUAUCAACGCAGCAAUNNNNNNNNNNNNNNNNNNNNNNNNNNNNNNNNNNNNNNNNNNNNNNNNNNNNNNNNNNNNNNNNNNNNNNNNNNNNNNNNNNNNNNNNNNNNNNNNNNNNUAUAAUAUAAAAUAUCAGCGUCGCAAUUAUUGAAUUAAUAAAAUAAAAUAUUAAACAGUAAUUACUGUAGUAACUAUUGAGUAGUGCCUUCUUACGUAAGAAUCAAUAAUCCAAAAAAUACUGUGUAAUACCAUGUACUACAGUGUAAACACAAGUAUUACUAUACUUUAACCACCAGGUAUUCCAACAGUGUUAAUGAGAUUAUCUACACCGUUAUUUAUAAAAAUAACUCAUACUAGUCAUUUUUUUCAUCCGACAGUUUUCCUUUAUGGGGACCACAAAUGGCUACGUCGUCGUACGAAUAUUCCCCGACAGCAAGAAUAUUCCACGAUCAAAUGAAUAUUCCCCGACAACAAUGAGUAAUUUAUAACCACUUGCUUAUUUUGAAAAAAAUUACAUAUAUCACUUUUAACGUUAAACUUUUAUCAAUUUAACUAUUUACUAAAUAGAAAAAUUGAAUACUUGUAUUUCAUAAAAUUUGGGGGUCUUACAGUUAACGGUAACAACUACGCCGUUAUUUAUAAAAAAACUCAUUCUUAUCAUUUUUUUAUCCGACAGUUUUUUGUUAUGGGGCCCACAAAUGGCUGCGCCAUCUUACGAAUAUUCCCCGACAGCAAGAAUAUUCCACGACCAAACGAAUAUUCCGCGACAAAAUUGAAUUUUUAUAAUCACUUGCUUAUUUUUCAAAAUUUGCACAUUUCACCCAUAACCAAAGCAUUAUAUCAAAUUAACACCUUAUUAUUCAAAAUAAUAAUUAGAGAAAAAUCAAUUUUAUUAAUAAAAAGUUGGGGUCUUACAACCUCCCCUCCUUAUGAAAUUUCGUCCUCAAAAUUGACAUACGUACUUGGUGUUUCGAAAAGGUGAGGAUACCUCGUUUUCAUUUCCGAUUCCAACUCCCAGGUCAUUUCCUCAAUUGCAUGGUUCCUCCACAAAAUUUUAACUUGUGGUAUAACCUUUGUGUGUACGACAUGCUCCUUCCUAUCGAAGAUCUUGACAGGUACCUCCUCGUACGUUAAAUCUUCGACUAUCUCGUCUAAUUCUAACUCAAUAAUGUGGUUUGGGUCUUUUUACAUAUUUGCGAAGCAUAGAUAUGUGAAAAACAUUAUGAACACGAGACAUGCUUGGAGGUAAUGCGAGUCUAUAGGCCACAUUUCCUACUCGAUCAAGAAUUUCAAAUGGACCAACAAAUCGUCCAUUGAGUUUUCCUCUCUUCCUGAAUCUUGUAACUCCCUUCCAUGAAGCAACACGUAACAAUACAUGAUCCCCAACAUUAAAUUCCACGUCCUUUCGAUGAAGAUCCGCAUAACUCUUUUGUCGAUCCUGUGCCAUUUGUAUACGUUGUCGGAUCAUUUGGAUCUUCUCUGUAGUCAUACGUACCAAUUUUGGUCCUAAUAAUACUGCUUCACCCACCUCAUCCCAACAUACUGGAGAGCAACACUAUCAUCCAUACAAUGCUUCGAAUGGAGCCACACCUAUACUUGUCUGAUAACAGUUGUUGUAGAAAAUUCUACCAAUGGUAGGUACUUAUCCAAACUUCCUUUAAAAUCUAGGACACAAAGUCUUAAUAGAUCUUCAAGAGUUUGAAUAGUCCUUUCCGAUUGCCCGUCCGUUUGAUGAUGGUAUGCAAAACUGAAUCGUAAAUCUGUGCCCAUAGCUUUCUGCAAACUAACUCAAAAUCGUGAAGUAAAUCUUGGGUCACGAUCCGAAACUAUGGAUACUGGCAUGCCAUGAAAUCUCACAAUCUCAUUCACGUACAUACGAGCAAGACGUUCAAGGGAAUAAGUCUCCCGUAUCGGCAAGAAAUGAGCAGACUUGGUUAAUCUAUCAGCAAUAACCUAAAUCGCAUCUAUGCCUUGAGAAACCUUGGGAAGACCCAUAACGAAAUCCAUGGUAAUGUGUUCCCACUUCCAUUUUGGAAUCUCAAGUGGUUGUAAUGGACGCUUUGGCACUUGAUGCUCCGCCUUUACACAUUGACAAGUUAAACACCUCGAGAUAAACUCCGUGAUCUCUCUCUUCAUAUCGCUCCACCAAAAUGUAUGUCAAAGGUCAUGAUAUAUUUUGGUACUCCCAAGAUGGAUUGCAAACGGUAUUUUGUGUGCCUCUAUCAUGAUUAUAUGCUUUAAGUCAGAAUUGUUAGGAACACAAAGUCUGGAGUUGACUCAAAGUAUUCCUUCUUCAUCGAUUCUUAUUUCUGGAAUAACACCUUGCACUUUCUUCUUCAUACGCAUCAGCUCCAAGUCCGUAGCUUGAGUAGCUUUAACUUUAUCAAUUAAAGUCGAUUCUACUCGUAUAUUUGAUAUCAUCACGUGGGUAAUUGGAGCCUUUAACUGUAUCUCCAUCCUUUGUAAGUCAUACAAAAUGGGCCUUUGCGUUGACAAUAUCGCACUCGUACUCGCAUAUGAUCUUCUACUUAAUGCGUCAGCUACUACGUUCGCUUUUUCAAGAUGGUAUUGGAUGGUAUGAUCGUAAUCCUUCAACAGCUUGAGCCAACGUCGUUGCCGCAUGUUGAGUUCCUUUUGGGUGAAAAAAUAUUUGAGGCUUUUAUGAUCCGUAUGAAUCUCCACUUUCUCCCCAUACAGGUAGUGUCUCUAGAUUUUCAACGCGAAAACGACUGCUGCUAACUCCAGAUCAUGAGUAGGAUAAUUCCUCUCAUAUUCUUUGAGUUGUCACGAGGCAUAGGCUAUGACUUUCCAAUGUUACAUGAGAACACAUCCUAACCCUUUGCCUAAAGCAUCGCUGUAGAUAACAAAUCCAUCCAAACCAGAUGGUAUUGUCAGAACAGGUGCCGAAAUGAGUCUCCUCUUGAGCUCUUGGAAGCUCUUCUCGCAUUCCUCGCUCCUUAUAAAUUUUGUAUCUUUUCGAGUUAGCUGAGUUAACGAAGUAGCAAUUCGAAAAAAUCCUUCCAUAAAUCUCCGAUAAUAACCAGCUAAGCCUAGAAAGCUACGUACUUCGGUUGCUCCCAACUUUAUAUUGCUUCAAUCUUCUCCGGGUCAACAGAUACUCCAUAUUUCGACACCAUGUGCCCAAGGAAUACUACUUCCUUAAUCCAAAACUCGCAUUUCUUUAGUUUGGAAUGUAGCUUAUUAUCACGAAGCCUUUGAAGUACUAGCUUCAAAUGGUGCUCAUGAUUUUCACAGCUUUUGGAAUAGAUGAGAAUGUCAUCAAUAAAGACAACAAUGAACUAAUCCAAAUAUUCCUUGAACACACAGUUCAUCAUAUCCAUGAAAGCAGCAGGAGCAUUAGUCAAUCCAAAAGACAUGACUAAGAAUUCAUAAUGCCCGUACCGAGUUCUGAAGGCAGUCUUCGGAAUAUCCUUAGUUUUAAUCUUCAGCUGAUGAUAUCUAGAACGAAGAUUGAUCUUUGAAAAGAAUUGUUCUCCUUGCAACUAGUCGAACAGGUCAUCAACGCGAGGUAUCGGAUACCUAUUCUUGAUGGUGACAUGGUUCAAUUCCCGGUAGUCAAUACAAAGUCGCAUACUCCCGUCUUUUUUCUUUACGAAUAAAACAGGAGCACCCCAGGGAGAUGUACUAGGACGAAUGAAACCGAUGUCUAACAACUCCUGUAGUUGGACCUUUAACUCCUGAAAUUCAAUAGAAGUCAUUCGAUAUGGGGUUUUAGAAAUGAGUUUUGUACCAAGUUCAAGGUCAAUAAAAAUUUAACUUCACAUUCUGGGGGUAGAUUAGGAAGUUAUUUAGAAAAUACGUCAGGAAAUUCACUAACAACAGAAAUAUUAUUUAAAUCUGACAUUUUUGUACAAGUCCAUGACAUGGGCUAAGAAAUCUUGAUAUCCGUUUUUUAAUAAACGAAUGGCUUUAUGGCUUGAUAUGACAGUGAUUGACUUUAGUUGUUUGGUUUCUUGAAUUCGUAUAAAAGUUUGAUUAGAAAUAUGAAAACUAACAACCUUACGAAAAUAAUCAAUUUUGGCAUGAUGAGUGGUUAACCAAUCAAUUCCUAAAAUCACAUCAAAUGCAAGUAUUUUUAAAGAAAUAAUAUCGACAGGUAAUGUGAUUGUCCCAACUUGAAUCAAGCAAGAUUUAUAAACCGUGGAUAUAACGAAAGUUUCUCCUAAUGAAGUCUCAACAGAUAAGUCAAAGUCUAAUUUCUCCGGACUCAAGUUCAAACGUUGAGCACAAGCAGAAGAGAUAAAAAAUGGGUAGAACUGGUAUCUAAUAAGGUAUAAACUUCGCAAGAGUUUAUGAUUAACUUACCCGUGAUCACCUCGUUUGGGUUCCUCGUGUUUUGGACAGUCACGACAAACACUCUUCCAGGAUUCACUGACUUUGUCUUGUCCGGGACAUCCUUUGGAAUCACCAUUCCCGCUGGACUUGGUUUCGCUAAAAGACAAUCUCUACCUAUAUGACAUUUCUUUCCAUAGUUAUAACACACCUUGGAUUGUUGUGGGCAGUUUGGGCUGAUGUGUCCCUCUUUCCAGCAUUUAUAACAUACGAUCGAUGGUCGUUCUCCUCCCCUAAAAAUAGUUGAUGUUGGUGCUUACGUCUUCACAUUGUCAUUAUUGUACCUUCUCUUUUUGAAAUCUCCCCCGAUUCGCUUCUUCUACUAUCAUGGCCACGAUUACCACCAGAGUGGUUACCGCUUUUGCCCUGAUAUUUUCCUCCCUGUUGGUUAUCAUUGCUCCGAUGACUGUUACCACUGGUAUGACCCUGGUUGUGGUCCCUCAGUUGAACAUACUAAUUAUCUCGCUCUAAUAAUUGAGUCAUGUUCACAACAUCUAAAUAUAGAGAAAAUUUGUGAGAAAUAAGAUAUUGCCAAAUUUCGGGUUUCAGACCUCUUAGAAACAUUCGCGUCAUAUAUUCCUCAUUCUCUACCAAAUGAGGUGAAAACUUGAUAACUCUGCGAACCUAGCCUCGUUUUGGGACACAGUCAUGUUGUUCUGUUCCAGUCUAAUACUCUACCUCCUUCAUAUGAUGAAUACUUUCAGGAAAGUACUUAUCAUUAAACAGUUUCUAAAACGUUUCCCAAGACAUAUUGAGUGCGGAAGGCUGGGUACGCAUCACAGAUUCCCACCAGUAAUCUGUCUCACCACGGAACAUAAAGGUUGCGAAUGGAACCUUCUGUUCCUCCGUGCAUCCCAAGACAUCAAAUAUCUUGGUAAUUUGCUUAACCCACGUUUUCGCCUUGAUCGGAUCUGGUUUUCCUAAAAAUUAUGGUGGUCCCAACUCUUUGAACUGCUUGGCUGUGACAAGCCGCGCAUUGCUAUUAUCUCCACCCGUAUUUUGUACACGAGUCUCCCUCGUCUGAUUUUGCAUGAACUGCAAAAAACUUCUAAACAUCCCAUCAUUCAUCGUUUGAUCGGUGGUGUUGUUUAUAGGAGGAAUAUUGUCGUCCUGUUGCACGUUCUCCUAGUUGGUGAUUAAAGGUGUCUCCACAGUUUCAUUCACUCCAUUGUUAACAUUUUCAGCUGUCAUUCUCAAAUACUGCCAUAAAAUAAGGGUUAAUUAAAGAAAUUAACAUACCACAUAUGUAAGACCCCAACCUAUUAUGAAUAAAAUUAAAUUUUCUCUAUUUAUUAUCUUGAAAUAAUAAUGAGUUAAUUUGAUAUAAUACUUAGGUUAUUUGUGAAAUGUGCAAAUUUUAGAAAAUAAGCAAGUGGUUAUAAAAUAUUCAUUUUGUCGAGGAAUAUUCGUUUGGUCGUGAAAUAUUCUUGUUGUCGGAGAAUAUUCGUACGACGGCGCAGCCAUUCGUGGGCCUCAUAACAGAAUAACUGUCGGAUAAAGAAAAUAAUAAGUUUGAAUUUUUACAAAUAACUGCGUAGUUGUUACCGUUAACUCUGUUGGAAUACCCGGUGGUUAAAAUACACUAAUACGCGUGGUUGCACAGUAGCACACGGUAUUGCACAGUAUUUUUGAAUUAUUUAUUCUUACGUAAGAAGGCACUACUCAAUAAUUGUUACAGUAAUUACUGUUCAAUAUUUUAUUUUAUUGAUUCAAUAAUUGCUGGUUUGAUAUUUUAUAUUAUUGUUGUUUCAAUAAUUGUCACUGCACAAUAUUUUCCAUUAUCAGAUCAAUAAUUCCUAUUAUUUGAAUAAUAUUAUUAGAUAGCAUUAUUGGCAAUGUCUAGAAAGUUCUAUCUAAGGAGAGGUUUGGUCACCUAAUUGCGCGCCAGUAAGGAGAAAUCCUUAUUGGAAAGCCCCCUCUUUUCUUGGAACAGCUUGAUUGUCAUUAUUGUGAUUCUGUAAUAUUAUUUGUGAAUAAUUAUUUAUUAAUUUAUAUGAUAAGAAAAUAUUUAUUUUAUGUGGCUAUUAAUGUUGAAGUGUUUUAUCAGUAUUUUUGUCGAAAUGGAGAUAUUAAAAAUCAAAUCAGUGUUCUUGAGAUAUAUUGCGUGAGUUAUAAUUUUUAAUCCGACCGUUGGAUCGUUGUGAUUUUUAGAUAUUUUAUACAUAUAUAAGUUGAGUAUAUGUCCACAAAUUUUGAACCGUUAAAAAUGAAUGUAUGAUUUGUUAUGAAUUUUAAGAGGUGUUUGAUUCAAAAAUUAUGUUAUAAAUGAUUUUUGAUGGAAAAUUCUAGAAUUGAGUGGGCCCCACUUUUGGUUGGUGAGAAAUGUACUCAAAUUUUAUUUCAAAUGUGGUGGAUGGCAAUAGUAGCAGAUAAAGCCAUCAGGUAGCAGGUCAAGUCUGCUUUGGCGUGCUAGAAUUUUCCUAUAAAUAGGUGCUUAUGUUAGAAUUAAAAAUCACACCAGAAACAUAAGCUUUCUCUCUUUCUCUCUAUAUUAUCAAGCGUAUUUUAUGAGUAUUUAGAUACUUUGAGAGUUUCUAUUCAGUACAAGUUUCAUUCAGCAUCACAUCCGACCUUUCAUUCCGAAGUACUGUUUCUUUGAAGUAAAGGGAUGUUAUUUUCUUCUUAAAUGAUAUUAUUUUCUUCAAUAUCAUUAUACUGGGAUAUUGUUAUGAAUUUUAUUAUGGAAUUUCUACCUUUUUGUGCCAGGAUUACUAUUCACGUAUACGGCACUAUUCACAAAUACGGCACUAUUCACCGAAAAAUAAAAUUUUCUCUUUUUCGUCCCAAAUGUAUUUUAUGGUUACGAUCUUUGAUUGUAUCCAUGUUUUGAUCUUUAUUCCACUUCACACUUGGUUAUUAUGAAGUAUUAUUGAACUUGGAUAAACCGAAAUACGAAUCCUUAAUAUUUGUCCUUCUGUUUCACUAGUUCGUUCUCUAAAAUGUUUUUCAUCAUCCUCAGUCCUUAAUGGUGAUACUUGAUGAAUAUAUUUGGCCUGUAGUGCAAAGAUGAAUGAUUACCUGAUGAAUAUCUUUGGCCCGUAGUGCGAAGAUGAACAGGUGUUGAGAUGAACAUGACCAAGUGGUGAUACAAAUGAAUAUCUUUGGCCCGUAGUGCAAAGAUGAAUAUUUGAUACAAGAUGUAUAUUGAUUGAUGUUACAGGGAUAAAAUAUUGAUGAUGGACUUUUAAAUUCAUACUCACUAUUUUUAUACAUUCUCUACUUAACUCUUCUAAUGAAUUGUUGUUUCCGCUGCGGUUGUUGAUCUAAAACUUGUUGUCGAUUAUAUUCUAUUAGAUUUUUCCCUGUUGAAGACUAAGGAUAAGUUUUUUGUAUAUUAUCUUAGUCAUAAUAUUUUUUACUGGGCUAGUUGAGCUCACCCUUUUUCUUUUUGUUCCAUUUUUCUUCUCAGGAAGCGAGAACAUAGCAGGAACCAAUCGGGGUAUAGAGUGAUGGUCCUAGACAGUUGUUUUAGCAGUCCUCACUAUUUUUAUAAAAUAGUGCAUCAAUAAUUGUAAUGAGAACUUUAUUUGGGUGUGGAUAUUGUCUAGAAGACAAUAUUUGUAUUUAAUCUCACAGUAUGUGUUGUCGUAUUUUGCACGACAAUUGUAAUAAAGUUGUAAUUAUUUUCUGUACCAUGUAUUUGGCGACUCAGAAUGGGUGAUGUAUACCUAUUUUGGGGGCAUCACAGUUGGUAUCAGAGCUUAGGGAUAUGGUCUCUAGCGGAGAUCGGGGAAUAGAACUAGGAGGGGAGAGACGAGUAAAUCCUUCGCUAGUGUGUCCUACCUAAGCUUAUUUGUUGAAAAGUCAUAAUAUAGGGAUAUUAUGUGAUAUGUUAAUUUGUUUAAUUAACCCCUGUUUUAUGGCAGUUUUUAAGAAUGACAGCUGAGAAUGUUAACAAUGGAGUCUAUGAGACUAUGGAACAACCUUUGAUUACCAACCAAGAGAACGUGCAACAGGAAGGCAAUAUUCCUCUUGUAAACAACACUACCGAGCAAACGAUGAAUGAUGCGAUGUUUAGAAGCUUUUUGCAGUUCAUGCAAAAUCAGACGAGGGAGACUCGUGUACAAAAUAUGGGUGGAAAUGAUAGCAACGCGCGGUUUGUCACAGCCAAGCAGUUCAAGGAGUUGGGACCACCAGAUUUCUGGGGAAAGCCCGAUCCGAUUAAGGCGAAAACGUGGGUUAAGCAAAUUACCAGGAUAUUUGAUGUCUUGGGCUGCACGGAGGAAUAGAAAGUUCCAUUCGCCACCUUUAUAAUCUAUGGUGAGGCAGAUUACUGGUGGAAAUCUGUGAAGCGUACCCAGCCAGCCGCACUCAACAUGUCUUGGGAAAAAUUUCAGAAAUUGUUCAAUGACAAGUACUUUCGUGAAAGUAUUCGUCAUAUGAAGGAGGUAGAGUUUAUUAGACUGGAACAGAACAACAUGACGGUGUCCUAGUACGAGGCGAAGUUCGCGGAGUUAUCCAGGUUUACACCUCAUUUGGUAGAAAAUGAGGAACGUAUGACGCGGAUGUUUCUGAGAAGUCUAAAACCCGAGAUUCGACAAUAUCUUAUCUCUCAUAAAUUUUUUUUUAUAUUCAGAUGUUGUAAACGGGGCUCAAUUAUUAGAGCGUGAUAAUGAGUAUGUUCAACCGAAGGACCACAACAAGGGUCAUACCAGUGACAGCAGUCAUCGGAGCGAUGAUAACCAGCGAGGAGGAAAGAAUAUGGACAAAAGCGGUAACCACUCGGGUGGUAAUCGUGGCCAUGAUAAUAGGAGAGGUGAGUCAAGUGAAAAUUUCAAAAAAAGAAGAUUCAACAAUGACGGGAAGACAUCAGCAGCAGCACCAGCACCAACAACAAAUUCUAGGGGAGGAGAACAACCGUCAGUUAGAUGCUACAGAUGUGGAGAGGAGGGACACAUAAGUCCAAACUGUUCACAGCCUUCCAAGGUGUGUUUCAAUUGUUGAAAAAACGGUCACAUAGCCCGAUUUUGUCCGGUAGCGAAGUCAAGUCCAACUGGGACGGCGGCACCAAAGGCUACUACGGACAAAACAAAGUCGGUGGUUCAAGGAAGGGCAUUUUUCGUGACUGGCCAAAACGCGAAAAACCCGAACGAAGUGAUCACAGGUAAGCUAAUCUUGAACUCUUGCGAAGUUUAUACCUUACUAGAUACCGGUUCUACCCAUUCUUUUAUCUCUCCUGCUUGUGCUCAAUGUUUAAACUUGACUCCGGAGAAAUUGGACUUUAACUUAUCUAUUGAAACUCUGUUGGGUGAAGCCUUUGUUACAUCUACAGUUUAUAAAUCUUGCUUGAUCCAAGUUGGCACAAUCACAUUACCUAUUGAUCUUAUCUCUUUAAAGAUAUUUGCAUUUGAUAUGAUUUUAGGGAUUGAUUGGUUAACCACUCAUCAUGCCAAAAUUGAUUCUUUUCGUAAGGUUGUUAGUUUUCAUAUUCCUAACCAACCUGUUAUACGAAUUCAAGCAACUAAACUACUAAAAUCAGUCACUGUCAUAUCAAGCCAUAAAGCUAUUGGUUUAUUGAAAAAUAGAUGUCAAGCUUUCUUAGCCCAUAUUAUGGACUUGAAUAAGAACACAUCAGAUUUAAAUAAUAUUCCUGUUGUUAAUGAAUUUCCUGACGUAUUUCUGGAAGAACUUCCUGGUCUACCCCCAGAACGAGAAGUUAAAUUCUUUAAUGAUCUUGAAUCGGGUACAAAGCCCAUUUCUAAAACCCCAUAUUGAAUAGCUCAUAUUGAACUUCAGGAGUUAAAAGUCCAACUACAGGAAUUGUUAGACAUCGAUUUCAUUCGUCCUAGUACAUCCCCUUGGGGUGCUCCUAUUUUAUUUGUAAAGAAGAAAGACGGGAGUAUGCGACUUUGUAUUGACUACCGGGAAUUAACCAUGUCACCAUCAAGAAUAGGUAUCCGCUACCUCGCAUUGAUGACCUGUUUGACCAGUUGCAAGGAGCACAAUUCUUUUCAAAGAACGAUCUUCGUUCUGGAUAUCAUCAGCUGAAGAUUAAAACUGAGGAUAUUCCAAAGACUGCCUUCAGGACUCGGUACGGGCAUUAUGAAUUCUUAGUCAUAUCUUUUGGAUUGACUAAUGCUCCUGCUGCUUUCAUGGAUAUGAUGAACCAUGUAUUCAAGGAAUAUUUGGAUCAGUUCGUUGUUGUCUUUAUUGAUGACAUCCUCAUUAAUUCCAAAAGUCGUGAAGAUCAUGAGCACCAUUUGAAGCUGGUACUUCAAAGACUUCAUGACAACAAGCUAUAUGCCAAACUGAAGAAAUGUGAGUUCUGGCUUAAGGAAGUAGCAUUCCUUGGGCACGUGGUGUCAAAACAUGGAGUAUCUGUUGACCCGACGAAGAUUGAAGCAAUACAAAGUUGGGAGAAACCGAAGUCGGUGAUCGAAGUGUGUAGCUUUUUGGGCUUAGCUGGUUAUUAUCGGAGAUUCGUGGAAGGAUUUUCUCGAACCGCUACUCCGUUAACUCAACCGACUCAGAAAGAUACAAAAUUCGUAUAGAGCGGGGAAUGUGAGAAGAGUUUCCAAGAGCUCAAGAGGAGACUCAUUUCGGCACCUGUUCUAACAAUACCAUCUGGUUUGAAUGAAUUUGUUAUCUACAGCGAUGCCUCAGGCAAAGGGUUAGGAUGUGUUCUCAUGCAACAUGGGAUAGUUAUAGCCUAUGCCUCACGACAACUCAAAGAAUAUGAGAGAAAUUAUCCUACUCGUGAUCUAGAGUUGGCAGCAGUUGUUUUUGCGUUGAAAAUCUGAAGACACUACCUGUACGGGGAGAAAGUGGAGAUUUAUACGGAUCAUAAAAGCCUCAAAUAUUUCUUCACCCAAAAGAAACUCAACAUGCGGCAACGACGUUGGCUCGAGCUGUUGAAGGAUUACGACCAUAGCAUUCAAUAUCAUCUUGGAAAAGCAAACGUUGUAGCAGACGCAUUGAGUAGAAGAUCAUACACGGGUACGAGUGCAAUAUUGUUAACAGAAAGGCCCAUUUUAUACGACUUACAAAGGAUGGAGAUAGAUUUAAAGGCUCCAAGUAACCACGUGAUGAUAUCAAACAUACGAGUAGAACCGACUUUAAUCGAUAAAGUUAAAGCAACUCAAGCUACGGACCUGGGGCUGAUGCGUAUGAAGAAGAAAGUGCAAGAAGGUGCUAUUCCAGAAGCAGUAAUUGAUGAAGAAGGAAUACUUCGAGUCAACUCCAGACUUUGUGUUCCUAACGAUUCUGACUUGAAGCAUAGAAUCAUGAUGGAGGCACACAACACACCAUUUGCAAUCUAUCUUGGGAGUACCAAAAUGUAUCAUGAUCUUCGACAUACAUUUUGGUGGAAUAAUAUGAAGAGAGAGAUCGCAGAGUUUAUCUCGAGGUGUUUAACAUGUCACCGUGUAAAGACAGAACAUCAAAUGCCAAAGGGUCCAUUGCAACCACUUGAGAUUCCAAAAUGGAAGUGGGAACACAUUACCAUGGAUUUCGUUAUGGGUCUUCCCAAUGUUUCUCAACGUAUAGAUGCGAUUUGAGUUAUUAUUGAUAGAUUAACCAAGUCUGCUCAUUUCUUGCCUAUACGUGAGACUUAUUCCCUUGAACGUCUUGCUCAUAUGUAUGUGAAUGAGAUUGUGAGAUUGCAUGGCAUGCCAGUAUUCAUAGUUUCAAAUCGUGACCAAAGAUUCACUUCACGAUUUUGGGUUAGCUUGCAGAAAGCUAUGGACACGAAUUUAUGAUUCAGUUCGGCAUACCAUCCUCAAACGGACAGACAAUCAGAGAAAACUAUUCAAACUCUUGAAGAUCUAUUAAGACUCUGUGUCCUAGACUUCAAAGGGAGUUGGGAUAAGUAUUUACCGUUGGUGGAAUUCUCUUACAACAACAGUUAUCAGGCAAGUAUAGGUAUGGCUCCAUUCGAAGCCUUGUAUGGAUGAAAGUUUCGCUCUCCAGUAUGUUGGGAUGAGGUGGGUGAAGCAACAUUGUUGGGACCAGAGUUGGUACGUAUGACUACGAAAAAGAUCCAAAUAAUUCGACAACGUAUACAAAUGGCACAGGAUCGACAAAAGAGUUAUGCGGAUCUUCAUCGAAAGGACGUAGAAUUUGGUAUUGGGGAUCAUGUAUUGUUACGUAUUACUCCAUGGAAAGGAGUUACAAGAUUCGGGAAGAGAGAAAAUCUCAAUCCGCGAUUUAUUGGUCCAUUUCAGAUUCUUGACCGAGUAGAAAAUGUGGCCUAUAGACUCGCGUUACCUCCAAGCAUGUCUCGUGUUCAUAAUAUUUUUCAUAUAUCUAUGCUUCGUAAAUAUGUGAAAGACCCAAACCACAUUAUUGAGUUAGAACUAGACGAGACAGCCGAAGAUUUAACUUACGAGGAGGUACCUGUUAAGAUCUUGGAUAUGAAAGAGCAUGUCCUGCGCACCAAGGUUAUACCACAAGUUAAGGUUUUGUAGAGGAACCAUGCUAUUGAAGAAAUGACCUGAGAGUUGGAAUCAGAAAUGAAAGCGAGGUACCUUCACCUUUUCGAAACACCAGGUACGUACGUCAAUUUCGAUGAUGAAAUUUCAUAAGGAGGGGAGGUUGUAAAACCCCAACCUAUUAUGAAUAAAAUUAAAUUUUCUUUAUUUAUUAUCUUGAAAUAAUAAAGAGUUAAUUUGAUAUAAUACUUUGGUUAUGGGUGAAAUGUACAAAUUUUACAAAAUAAGCAAGUGGUUAUAAAAUAUUCAUUUUAUCGGAAAUAUUCGUUUGGUCGUGGAAUAUUCUUGUUGUCGGAGAAUAUUCAUACGACGGCGUAGCCAUUCGUGGGCCUCAUAACAAAAUAACUGUCGGAUAAAGAAAGCGGCAAGUUUGAGUUUUUACAAAUAACGACGUAGUUGUUACCGUUAACACUGUUGGAAUACCCGGUGGUUAAAAUACAGUAAUAUGCGUGGUUGCACAGUAGCACACGAUAUUGCACAGUAUUUUACUCAAUAAUUAUUACAGUAAUUACUGUUCAAUAUUUUAUUUUAUUGAUUCAAUAAUUGUUGCGUUGAUAUUUUAUAUUAUUAUUGUUUCAAUAAUUGUUACUGCACAGUAUUUCCCAUUAUCAGAUCAAUAAUUCAUAUUAUUUGAAUAAUAUUAUUAGAUAGCAUUAUUGACAAUGUCUAGAAAGUUAUGUCUAAAGAGAGGAUUGGUCACCUAAUUACGCGCUAGUAAGGAGAAAUCCUUAUUGGAAAGCCUCCUCUUUCCUGGGAACGGCCUGGUUGUCAUUAUUGUGAUUCUGUAAUAUUAUUUAUGAAUAAUUAUUUAUUAAUUUAUAUGAUAAGGAAAUAUUUAUUUUAUGUGACUAUUAAUGUUGAAGUGUUUUAUCAGUAUUUUUGUCAGAAUAGAGGUAUUAAAAAUCAAAUCAGUGUUCUUGAGAUAUAUUGCGUGAGUUAUAAUUUUUAAUCCGACCGUUGGAUCGUUGUGAUUUUUAGAUAUGUUAUACAAAUAUAAGUUGAGUAUAUGUCCACAAAUUUUGAACCGUUAAAAAUGAUUUGUUAUAAAUUUUAAAAGGUGUCUGAUUCAAAAAUUAUGUUAUAAAUGAUUUUUGGUGAAAAAUUCUAGAAUUGAGUGGACCCCACUUUUAGUCAUAAUAUUCUUUACUGGGCUAGUUGAGCUCACCUUUUUAAUUUUUGUUCUAUUUUUCUUCUCAGGAAGCGAGAACAUAGCAGAAAUCAGUCGGAGUAUAGAGUGAUGGUCCUAGACAGUUGUUUUAGUAGUCCUCACUAUUUUUUGUAAAAUAGUGCAUCAAUAAUUAUAAUGAGAACUUUAUUUGGGUGUGAAUAUUGUCUAGAAGACAAUAUUUGUAUUUAAACUCACAGUAUGUGUUGUCGUAUUUUGCACGACAAUUGUAAUAAAGUUGUAGUUAUUUUCUGUAUCAUAUAUUUGACGACUCAGAAUGGGUGAUGUAUACCUAUUUUGGGAGCGUCACAACAUAUUAUCCCUAUAUUCUGAUCGACCAAUUAAAUACCAAAUAAGCUUAGGUAGGACACACUAGCGAAGGACUUACUCGUCUCUCCCCUCCUAGUUCUAUUCCCCGAUCUCCGCCAAAGACCGUAUCCCUAAGCUCUGAUACCAACUGUGACGCCCCCAAAAUAAGUCCACACAACCCAUUCUGAGUCGCCAAAUACAUGGUACAGAAACUACAAACCUCAUUAUUACAAUUGUCGUACAAAAUACGACAACACAUAUACUGUGAGUUUAAAUAUAAAUAUUAUCUUUUAGACAAUAUCCAAACUCAAAUAAGUCCUCAUUACAAUUAUUGAUAUACUAUUUUAUAAAAUAGUAAGGACUGCUAAAACAAUUGUCUGGACCCAUCACUCCACACCCCGACUAGUUCCCGCUAUAUUCUCGCCUCCUGAGAAAAAAAAUUGAACAAAAAGGAAAGGGUGAGCUCAACUAGGCCAGUAAAGAAUAUUAUGACUAAUAUAAUGAACAAAAAGUUAUCGUUAGCCAUCAAAAAAUUAGAAAAAAAAUAUAGUGGACAACAAGUUUUAGACAAUAUUCGCAGCGAAAAUAACAAUUAAUUAGAAGAGUUAAAUAGAGAAUGAAAUCGACUAUCUUCUAUGAUUUAAAAGUCCAUCAUCAAUAUUUUAUCCCUGUAACAUCAAUAAAUAUAUAUCUUGAACCAAAUAUUCAUCUUUGCACUACGGGCCAAAGAUAUUCAUUUGUAUCACUAGUUGGUCAUGUUCAUCUCAACACCUGUCCAUAUUUGCACUACGGGCCAAAGAUAUUAAUCAGGUAAUCAUUCAUCUUUACACUACAGGCCAAAGAUAUUUAUCAAGUAUCACCAUUUAAGAUUGAGGAUGAUGAAAAAUAUCUUAAAGAAACGAAUCCAGUGAGAUUAAAGGACAAAGAUUAGAGAUUCGUACUUUGGUUUAUCUAAAUUCAAAAAUACUCCAUAAUAAUCAAUUGUGGAGCAAAAUUUAAGAAUGAAGAUCAAAACAUAGAUACAAUCAAUGAUUGUAACCAUAAUAGACUACUUGGACAAAGAAAAAAAAAGUAAUUUUUCUGUGAAUAGUGUCGUAUACGUGAAUAGUAACCCCGACACAAAAGAUAACAAUUUUAUAAGAAAAAUCAUACUUCGUGAAUAGUACUCGUGAAUAGUACCGUAUUCGUGAAUAGUGCCGUAUACGUGAAUAGUAUCGUAUACGUGAAUAGUAACCUCGACAUGAAAAGGUAAAAAUUUCAUAAUAAAAUUCAUACCAAUAUUUCGGUAUAAUGAUAUUGAAAAAAAUAACAUCAUUUAUGAAGAAAAUAACAUCCCUUACCUCAAAAAAACAGUACUUCUGAUUAAAAUAUCGGAUAUAAUAUUGAAGAAAACUUGCACUGAAUAGCAACUCUCAAAGUAUCUAACUACUCACAAAAAUAUGCUCAAUAUUAUAGAGAGAAAACUUCUUAUUCUGAUGUGAUUUUCAAUUCUAACUAAGCACCCUAUUUAUAGGAAAAUGCCAGAAUGCCAAAGCAGCCUAAAAUUUAAUAAAAUAAUAUUUUAAUAAAAAAAAAAUUCACUCACACCUCUUGACCAAACUCAGCACACCACAAGUGGGGCCCACCAAUUUCAAAAAAUUCUACAACUAAAAGUGUGGCCCACCCAUGUUUUUAAUAAAAACAUUUAUUUCUGAAACUUCAAUAAUUCAUAAUAAAUAGCCCUUUUAUCAUAAAAAUACGAAUUUUAUGUCCAUUCCAUAGGAAAUUCUCUACAACUUUGUAGAAUAAAGUUUUUCCAAAUUCCCAGCAGAAAUGAUCGAAAUCCACAUACGGAUGAUUUUAAAUACCUCCAUUUCGACAAAAUACUGAUAAAACUCUUCAGCAUUAAUUCCUUCAUUUAUAUCCACAUAAAAUAAAUAUUUCCUUAUCAUAUAAAUCAAUAAUUAAUUAUUCAUAAAUAAUAUUACAGAAUCACAAUAAUGACAAUCAGGUCGUUUCUAGAAAAGAGGGGGCUUUCCGAUAAAGAUUUCUCCUUACUAGCGCGCAAUUAGGUGACCAAACCCUUUUCCUAGACAGAACUUCCUUAGACAUUGUCAAUAAUGUUAUCUAAUAAUGUUAUUCAAAUAAUAUGAAUUAUUGAUCUGAUAAUGGAAAAUACUUUGCAGUGACAAUUAUUGAAACAACAAUAAUAUAAAAUAUCAGUGUCACAAUUAUUGAAUCAAUAAAAUAAAAUAUUGAACAGUAAUUACUGUAGCAAUUAUUGAGUAGUGUCUUCUUAUGUAAGAAUCAAUAAUCCAAAAAAACUAUUGUGCAAUACCGUGUCCUACAGUGCAACCACGCGUAUUACUAUACUUUAACCACUAACAGUGUUAAUGGUAACAACUACGCCGUUAUUUAUAAAAAUAACUCAUACUUGUCGUUUUUUUCAUCCGACAGUUUUUCGUUAUGGGACCCACAAAUGGCUGCGCCAUCGUACUAAUAUUCCCCGACAUCAAGAAUAUUCCACGACCAAAUGAAUAUUCCCCGACAAAAAUGAAUAUUUAUAACCAGUUGCUUAUUUUGCAAAAUUUGCACAUAUCACCCAUAACCAAAGCAUUAUAUCAAAUUAACACCUUAUUAUUCAAAAUAAUAAUUAGAGAAAAUUUAAUUUUAUUUAUAAAAAGUUGGGGUCUUACAAUACCAAGUCCAGAAUAGAUAUCGGUUGAGGUGCUUCUUUCAAGCUUUGCACCACCAUGAUUUCAUUAUAUCCCAUCUUGCGGAGGAAUUCUUCAAUUUUCUCCUUGGACACUUUCCCCUUAUAUCUGAUGACUAGCUUCAUCACUCGUUGAGGGAGAUACAACGGAAUUUCUUUGGAUACCGUAGCAGUUGUAUUUGAUGUGGAUCCUUUAACAUCCCCAUAGUUCCAUGGGACUUUCUUAAGGCUGGUGAUAGGAUAUUGUGGCAUGAAUGGAAAUACCAGUGGUUCUGGUGCCGCCACCUUCAAAGGGUUUUCAACUCCUUUGAGCUUGAUUGGUUAAAUUAUAAGGGGUGUGGCAACCAGGUCUCCCUCAGAGGAUAUAACUGCUAUGAUUUCUCUCCAUCUUUGCACUCCUGGAGGAAAUGUUUUUCCACUCUUGGGCAAUACGAUGUCAUCGUCUGCCAUUUACAGGUCACCGCUGUCAAUUAUAUUUUGGAUAAGAUAACGGAGUGCCCAGCAUCCUUCAGUGCUGUGACCACGAGAAUGGGAGUGGUAUUGAUAGACUCCACUAGCAUCAAAUCUUUUUGAGUUUGGGUUAAUUGGGGGUAGUAGUGCUGUGAUUUUUCCCUCAUUGAUCAGCAUCUACAAUAUUUCUUCCACGGUUGGCCUAAAUGGGUGAGCUUUCUUUUGUUGAAAAAAUCCUGACGGGCUUGAGCUCUUGCUUUUCUUGCAAGCUUUUCCUCCAAGGUUUCACUUUCUUGGGUCUGUGGUGGAUUCUUUGUGAUAAGGGAGAGGAGACUUGCAUGCUCUUGACUGAACAACUGUCGUGUGACUUGGUGUUGAUGUAUCACCAGUUCUGCUAGUUGAUUAACCUGUUCAUCAAUAAACUUCAACUCUCGUUCCAUCAUAAACUGGAACUCCGAAUAAUCCCACUUUUUGGAAUUAUCUUUGCUGAUUUGGGGAGAACCACCCACAUAUUUGAGGUACUUGGAACUCUCUCCACUGCCUCUAUUGACCAUGUUAACAUCUUCUUCCUUGUGUUGAGGGAGAGGGUUAUCUUGAACAUGUUGUUGUUCGGGCUUUGUCACCAUGAUCUCACCAUUGUCUAUUAAGUUCUGGAUCUUAUGCUUGAGGGCUCAACAAUCUUGGGUCUCGUGACCUGGAGCUCCAGAAUGGUAAACACAAUUCUUGCUUGUAUUGAAGCUCUUUCCACUUGGAUUGGCUGGUGGAAGGAGAUGAGUGAUUUUCUUCUGAGCUGUCAAAAGUUUGAAAAUGCUUUCCAGUGAGUCCUCUAAGGGUGUGAACACUCUUGAACGUUUGACUUCUCCACUUUUUGUCAAGGGAGGAUUUGAAGAUUGUGCUUGAAAAGGGAAAUAGUCUCUCCUUUGAAUAGGCAGGCUUUGAUUGCCUUUUUGAUUUUGUCCUUGCAAUAUCAAGGAGGCAUCCUCUUCUUUCUUCUUAUGGACCCUCCAGGGGUUGUUCCCAUAACUUCUAGAUUGGAUAUGCUCAGCUACGACUUUUAAAGUAGCAAUGUCUUAAAUCUUCCUAGAUUUUAACCCCAUCUCUGCCAUUUCACCGUGCCUGAUCAUUUUUGAGAAUGGUUUUCCUAUACCGACUAGGACCCUCUCAUAAAAUGGAGCUUCUUGAAUAUCUAUGAAGGUCAUCACCAUCUCAGUCUCUGUCAUGGAGGGGAUUACUUGAGCAUCCAGACGCCUCCAUCUUUGGACAUACUCUCUGAAUGACUCAUUGACUUGCUUCUUGACUUUGGUAACCUGGUACCUAUUUGGAGCCAUCUGAGUUUGAAAGUUGUAUUGAUUGAGGAAAGCAUGGGCUAAUUCCUCCCAGCUGUGGAUCUUGGAGUUAUCCAGUCUGGUGUACUAUGCUCUGGCUUCUCUAGUUAGACUUUUCUGAAACAACUGCAUUCUUAGUUUUUCAUUCUCGGCGUAUGAUCUGAGUUCUCCAAUGAACACUUUUUAGUGAGUGUAGGGAUCUCCCAAUCCAUCAUAUUUCUUGAAAUCGGGAGCCUUAAAUUUUUUCGGAUAAUUAAUCCCAUGGAAGAUGCAAAGGUCUGAAUAGGUAACGAUUCCGUGUGUUCCAGUCCCUUUGAUGGACCGAAUGGUCUCUUCCAUUUGUUGAACCUUCUUCCGAAUAUCACUGGUGUCUUGAUCUUCUUUAAGAUGGGUGAUUUCAGGGGUUUUGUUGGACUUCACAGUCUGAGACUCAGGUACUGGGACUUCUCUGUUCGGACCUUGGAUUCCUCCCUGUGUAGAGGAUUCAGUUUGGAUGGGUAUUUGUGGACCUUGAUUUGAUUUGUUUAGUUCUUUCAGAAGAACAUCCAACUCAGUUAUUUGAUUCCUUAAUCCUUCGAACUCCUCGCGAGAAACAGGAGUAGGAUUAGGCUGGGCACUUGUAGCCAUGUUUGACAGUGGGCUUAGUGUCUUUUUGGACUUUGAGCGGGUAACAUGACCAAUUGUUUUCCUACAAAAAGACUACGUAGUUUAGUCUGGGAAAACAUGGAGAUGUUAUAUGCUAUGCAAUGUGUCCACUUUUAGGAGUGUUUUCAUUAGCACAUGCUCCCCCCAUAUCAAAAAGUUCAACUUUCUUAUUUCCAAGGCUGCUCAUAUAUCUGAAGUGCAACCACAGCCAGAAAAAUUAUCUGAAUGCAUAGAAACCUAUAAGAUAAAGGAAAUAGAUCUAUUCUAAAAAAUAAUGCACUACCACAUAACAUUCUUAUGCUUAUAGAAAAUAAAUAGAAUAAAAAAAAUAAACCUAACAAAAACUGGAAUGACUAUGCAUAUGUAAGUUAAUUAUAAUAUGGUAUUUAGUGAAGAAAUAAAUCUCUCUUUAUUCAAAUAUGGUCAGUUGUCCAACUUAAACUACUAUGUUACUGAAAAAAUGGAUCACAACCUUUAAAUUCAGAAUAUCCAAAUCUAUAAUUGCACACUACUAGAAAAUUGACCUAUAAGCUGGGUCAACCAAAUUCGAGAAUGGAGUCAAAAUCAUUUAGAAGGUAAAAUGUUGGGUUCAAACACACAAGUCGGAGUAAAGAUGAUUUACCUUUGGAGGAUCAAGAACUCCUGCAUCAAUAGAAGUGAACUCAGCCCUCACUUAAAUGCCAAAUUCCUUAAAAAUACCACAAUUAUUAUAAUUAUUUUGUCUUACCAUCUGAAUGCACAUGAAAUUUAAGAAAUAAAACAAUUAGUCAAAAUCGGCAAAACCGACAAUAAAAAUAAGAAAGAGAAGUUUCAUGGUUGAAAGUAACAAACACUACAUUCUAUUUUUUGUUUUCCUAUUUUUUAAUUAAAAGACUAAAAUUCAGUACAUUUAUAUCAUCUUAAUACUUGCUUCCCUUUUAGCAAGACGCUCACAGAUUGCCCUUAAGAGGGAAGUUACCCAGCUUAAAUUUAGUUUUUUAGAAAAUUUUUGUCCUUAGACAAUCCUACAAACCUGUAAUACAAGGGUUGUUUAUUGUCUGCUAAUUAAGUUGCAAAUCAAAUAAUUGAGUUAAAGACACAAAAGUAAAGAAAUCCAAAAGAAAAUCAUAAAUAUAUGUAACCUCCACGAGUAGAUAUAUAGGUCUUGCAUCAGUUCUAGUUAAGAGCUGGUAAGUUUGCAUAUCAGAGUCUGUUAUGAUUAGUUCCAAAAUUAAAAGUGGUAAGUUUGCAUAUUUAAUCAAACCCAUACAGUAAAGAAAUAAUCAUUUAAGUAUUAUUACUCAUUAAUCUAAGUCUAAGUUCCAUCAUUGUAAUCCCUACUGGUGUGACUCCCCUACAUCUCUUCAUAUCCUAUGCAUUGGACGAAAAAAAGUUUGAUUACAUCCAGCUAUAAUUUUUAUACUUGUAAUAAUUUCAUGAUCAAUCUAUGUUGCUUUACCUUAUUGGUCCUUAUCAAUGCAAGUUUGUGAUUGUUAUCUUCUAAACUGGUCUUAUUGUCCCAACAAUUAAAGGUACGGGGAAGUAGUGUGCAAGUCCAUAAAUAACUUUUAUUACCGUAACUCUAGCAAGGUUCCUACACCCCCACUUUGUGUCCCAAUAAUAGUAAUACAUAGAAUGAUCAAAUUAUACCAAAUAGGACAAUGUGAUUAAAUGUGUACCUCUUGAAUUAAGCAAUAAUAAUACACCAUAAAGGAAGAGUUUAGAUGUCACUAUCAACAGAGUUUAGUGAUUGAAGAGUGUUUACAUCUCAAUAAAAAUUUUGAUUCUAUUAUUGUUUGUUCAUGUUCAUAGAAGAGAUAAUUUGAUUGCUCACGGGCUCGCAUAACUAUCUCAAAUGUUUAUUAUCUUUAUUCCCAAUUUUUGGCUGGACGAUAUUCAUUCAAGUGUUAUUCCUUUUGUUAUUAAAGAUGCUAAGAAUGAAGAAAAAAUUGAGUCAUGUUCCGGACUUCGAAAAAAAUAACAAUACAAAAGUCAUUUAACCUCCAGUUGAAUGAGCCAACUAUUUGCUCCUGACUCAUACCCGCGAUGCAAAUAAUAACCAUGCAAUGUUCCAUCUAAACAUAUUGUAAAAGUGAACACACAAUACUUAUAUUAGAAAAAAAAUCUUAAUACCGAAAAUAAGGUAAUUAAACCAUUUUAUAGGAAUUUUGUAAUUUAUUCAAGGGAAAAAAUUGAAGAUUAAAAAAAUAGGCCAUGUGAACCUACUAAUAUUAGAUUUCAACAUGCAUAGAUUACUUAUCAACUUAAAAAGAUAUUCUAAAUCCACCAACAGAAGUAGCUGGAACAUUUUAAUCUUAUAUAUGUGAUACCAACAAAUGCAUCUAACAAUCUAUAUAGCCUCCUAAACUCAAAAUAGGUGCUACACUCAAGACAUAAAAUAGCUCAACAAAACCAAGCUAAGCAGCCGCUGCAAUACAGUGUAGCGCAUGCGUGCGUGCUUACACUGUUGCUGCCAGCAGCUCAACCAUGCCUCUUUGAAAAAUCCGUAUCUUCAAAUUAAAGGUCCAAUCAUAACCAAUUUUUUUUAAUAAACAUAGCCUAAAUGAGUAUUUAAAAUAGGUGUUAUAGAACUUCAAAUGUGCCUCAUCAAAACAGAUGCAGCAGCGUAGCACAGUGCAGCCCAUGGUUGCCACUACUGCUGCUACCUCACCAUCAUGCCAUGAAUGAAAUGCUUGAUUGGCUAAUUUUUAAAUCAAAAACCACAUUCGCUUAAAGUGAAAUUUUGGUAUAUCAUAGAGAACAUAGCAAAGUAUUUUAAGAAAUAUAACAUACUCUAAACAAACAAUCUAAAUGGGUUUUAUAAAACAUCAAAAGUACACUAUUAAAAUAGUUUUCUAAUCAUAUUGUUCUCCUUUAAAAUAACAUUCCAACUUAAUCUAAUCCAUACAAACCAUUUAAUUAUCUACAUAUAGUAUCCAUACACUUACUUUUGGCAUCAAUUUCUACUCAAUUUCAAUGUUUAAACAAAACAGUCCCUAUCGGGACAUUUAUCAAACAAUACAUGUGCAUUCUUUAAAUUUUAGAAAUCACAACCAAUUAUUAUAUAUGGUUUGAUCAAUAUUUUUUAACCUUAUAGCUCCGCACACCAACAACUAAAUUCCAUCUUUCUAAUUCAUCCUAUCAUAGUCAAAAUAACCUCCAAAUUAUUGCACAAUUGUAACAUACCACACUACUAAAUUUUAUAUUACAAAAGCUAUGGACAAGAAAAUUACCUCUAUCCCGAUUAAAUUAGUUGAUUUCUCAGUGCAAGAAGAUCAAUUUAGACAGUCUUCCUUACCAAUGAUGCUCAAUUCCACAUACUAUAACAGUUAGCCAACUAACUGCUGCGGGAAGCUGGAACAGGGAAGGAUAUUUUUUUUUUUUGCAAACCUAUUCAGUGUUUUAGGUACUUUUAUUGUAAAGGAAAGCAAGAGAAGGAAACACACAUUAACACAAUAUAAAUUAACUUUAAAAUAUCAGCAUGUAUGGUUGGUUGGGUAACAACUACCGUGUGAUCCAACACAAGACACUUAUCAAACAAGCAUCUGAUAUCGAAAGAGUUUGAAAAAAGGGAAAUUACUCCCUCUGUCCUCUAAUAGUCUGAUUAAAGGCCCCGUUAGGAAGUUAAUAUUUUAAAGGAAAAUAUUAUAUACUAGGGAUUGUGAUAUAUAGUUCCUUGAUUUCAAAUUCAACUGUCUUGGGACAUUGCAAGGAAAAGUUGGACUAUUACGAAAAAAGUAACAAAAAAAAUCACUCGGCAAACAAACAAGCAAAAAGAUUUGACUUUCAAUAUAGAGUACUAGCCAUCAGACCCAUCUCCGCAGUUGGUGCACAAAUUAUGCUUCCAAAGAGUAAUUUUCAUCAAAACCCACAAUAUUAGAGUAAAAUCAAAGUGCAUUUUCCAAGGAGUUAUGAAUUUAAAACAACAACUACUAUUGGUUACCACAGAAAAUUAUACAAUCUACAACAACCACCACUAAACAUAUUAUCACAAAAACAUCAAUCAAUCAUGCAUAACCCAGAUAAAUUCCAUGUCAAGAAAACCUAAUUAAUAUUUAGCUCAACAUUCCAUCAAAGACAGAAGCUAUGCAACAUAGAUGACAUAUUCAAUUGUAGAGUUUUGGUGUAAACCCACUUUCAAUCGAUAUUGGGUUUCAAGCGAUUCAAAAAUUAAAUCAAAAUUUAAUUUAUACUGAAUUUAUUUUGGUCAAAAGUCCAACCCAGGAAGAUAGAGAGAGAAAUUCACCAGGGAACCCAAGAGGGGUGAAGAAAUCAAGAUUUUCAACCAAAGUUGUUCAAUUUUCCGUGAGGAGGAGAGAGAAACUCAAAAGGGUAGGCCAAAAACCAGAAGUAGCGUUAGAUGGCUACGAAGAAGAUAUGCUCGAGAUCUCUGAUCCCAAUUGUCAGAUCCGCUCCAAAACAUUCCAACUCUCCAACCUCUAGACACCAUUUUCCAUCUCUAAUCCACGAUCCUCCUCCGUCUCUUCAGCAAACAUUAAGAAGAAGAAGAUGAUCUUGAUAUCUUUUUGGGUUUAUAGCAAAAGAUAAAAGUUACGUAAUUAUAAUUAAG